rnacentral:rRNA from 1 species
CCUACGGGAGGCAGCAGUGGGGAAUUUUGGACAAUGGGGGCAACCCUGAUCCAGCCAUGCCGCGUGAGUGAAGAAGGCCUUCGGGUUGUAAAGCUCUUUCGGCCGGAACGAAAUCGCGCACGUGAAUAACGUGCGUGGAUGACGGUACCGGAGUAAGAAGCACCGGCUAACUACGUGCCAGCAGCCGCGGUAAUACGUAGGGUGCGAGCGUUAAUCGGAAUUACUGGGCGUAAAGCGUGCGCAGGCGGUUCGCUAAGUCAGACGUGAAAGCCCCGGGCUUAACCUGGGAACGGCGUUUGAAACUGGCGGGCUCGAGUACGGCAGAGGGGGGUGGAAUUCCACGUGUAGCAGUGAAAUGCGUAGAUAUGUGGAGGAACACCGAUGGCGAAGGCAGCCCCCUGGGCCGAUACUGACGCUCAUGCACGAAAGCGUGGGGAGCGAACAGGAUUAGAUACCCUGGUAGUCCACGCCCUAAACUAUGUCAACUAGUUGUCGGGGAAGCAAUUCCUUGGUAACGCAGCUAACGCGUGAAGUUGACCGCCUGGGGAUACGGUCGCAAGAUUAAAACUCAAAUGAAUUGACGG